GAUGAACGCUGGCGGCGUGCCUAAUACAUGCAAGUCGAGCGAACGGACGAGAAGCUUGCUUCUCUGAUGUUAGCGGCGGACGGGUGAGUAACACGUGGAUAACCUACCUAUAAGACUGGGAUAACUUCGGGAAACCGGAGCUAAUACCGGAUAAUAUUUUGAACCGCAUGGUUCAAAAGUGAAAGACGGUCUUGCUGUCACUUAUAGAUGGAUCCGCGCUGCAUUAGCUAGUUGGUAAGGUAACGGCUUACCAAGGCAACGAUGCAUAGCCGACCUGAGAGGGUGAUCGGCCACACUGGAACUGAGACACGGUCCAGACUCCUACGGGAGGCAGCAGUAGGGAAUCUUCCGCAAUGGGCGAAAGCCUGACGGAGCAACGCCGCGUGAGUGAUGAAGGUCUUCGGAUCGUAAAACUCUGUUAUUAGGGAAGAACAUAUGUGUAAGUAACUGUGCACAUCUUGACGGUACCUAAUCAGAAAGCCACGGCUAACUACGUGCCAGCAGCCGCGGUAAUACGUAGGUGGCAAGCGUUAUCCGGAAUUAUUGGGCGUAAAGCGCGCGUAGGCGGUUUUUUAAGUCUGAUGUGAAAGCCCACGGCUCAACCGUGGAGGGUCAUUGGAAACUGGAAAACUUGAGUGCAGAAGAGGAAAGUGGAAUUCCAUGUGUAGCGGUGAAAUGCGCAGAGAUAUGGAGGAACACCAGUGGCGAAGGCGACUUUCUGGUCUGUAACUGACGCUGAUGUGCGAAAGCGUGGGGAUCAAACAGGAUUAGAUACCCUGGUAGUCCACGCCGUAAACGAUGAGUGCUAAGUGUUAGGGGGUUUCCGCCCCUUAGUGCUGCAGCUAACGCAUUAAGCACUCCGCCUGGGGAGUACGACCGCAAGGUUGAAACUCAAAGGAAUUGACGGGGACCCGCACAAGCGGUGGAGCAUGUGGUUUAAUUCGAAGCAACGCGAAGAACCUUACCAAAUCUUGACAUCCUUUGACAACUCUAGAGAUAGAGCUUUCCCCUUCGGGGGACAAAGUGACAGGUGGUGCAUGGUUGUCGUCAGCUCGUGUCGUGAGAUGUUGGGUUAAGUCCCGCAACGAGCGCAACCCUUAAGCUUAGUUGCCAUCAUUAAGUUAGGCACUCUAAGUUGACUGCCGGUGACAAACCGGAGGAAGGUGGGGAUGACGUCAAAUCAUCAUGCCCCUUAUGAUUUGGGCUACACACGUGCUACAAUGGACAAUACAAAGGGCAGCGAAACCGCGAGGUCAAGCAAAUCCCAUAAAGUUGUUCUCAGUUCGGAUUGUAGUCUGCAACUCGACUACAUGAAGCUGGAAUCGCUAGUAAUCGUAGAUCAGCAUGCUACGGUGAAUACGUUCCCGGGUCU
rnacentral:rRNA from 1 species